GGGUUGUGAGGUUAAGCGACUAAGCGUACACGGUGGAUGCCCUGGCAGUCAGAGGCGAUGAAGGACGUGCUAAUCUGCGAUAAGCGUCGGUAAGGUGAUAUGAACCGUUAUAACCGGCGAUUUCCGAAUGGGGAAACCCAGUGUGAUUCGUCACACUAUCAUUAACUGAAUCCAUAGGUUAAUGAGGCGAACCGGGGGAACUGAAACAUCUAAGUACCCCGAGGAAAAGAAAUCAACCGAGAUUCCCCCAGUAGCGGCGAGCGAACGGGGAGCAGCCCAGAGCCUGAAUCAGUGUGUGUGUUAGUGGAAGCGUCUGGAAAGGCGCGCGAUACAGGGUGACAGCCCCGUACACAAAAAUGCACAUGCUGUGAGCUCGAUGAGUAGGGCGGGACACGUGGUAUCCUGUCUGAAUAUGGGGGGACCAUCCUCCAAGGCUAAAUACUCCUGACUGACCGAUAGUGAACCAGUACCGUGAGGGAAAGGCGAAAAGAACCCCGGCGAGGGGAGUGAAAAAGAACCUGAAACCGUGUACGUACAAGCAGUGGGAGCACGCUUAGGCGUGUGACUGCGUACCUUUUGUAUAAUGGGUCAGCGACUUAUAUUCUGUAGCAAGGUUAACCGAAUAGGGGAGCCGAAGGGAAACCGAGUCUUAACUGGGCGUUAAGUUGCAGGGUAUAGACCCGAAACCCGGUGAUCUAGCCAUGGGCAGGUUGAAGGUUGGGUAACACUAACUGGAGGACCGAACCGACUAAUGUUGAAAAAUUAGCGGAUGACUUGUGGCUGGGGGUGAAAGGCCAAUCAAACCGGGAGAUAGCUGGUUCUCCCCGAAAGCUAUUUAGGUAGCGCCUCGUGAAUUCAUCUCCGGGGGUAGAGCACUGUUUCGGCAAGGGGGUCAUCCCGACUUACCAACCCGAUGCAAACUGCGAAUACCGGAGAAUGUUAUCACGGGAGACACACGGCGGGUGCUAACGUCCGUCGUGAAGAGGGAAACAACCCAGACCGCCAGCUAAGGUCCCAAAGUCAUGGUUAAGUGGGAAACGAUGUGGGAAGGCCCAGACAGCCAGGAUGUUGGCUUAGAAGCAGCCAUCAUUUAAAGAAAGCGUAAUAGCUCACUGGUCGAGUCGGCCUGCGCGGAAGAUGUAACGGGGCUAAACCAUGCACCGAAGCUGCGGCAGCGACGCUUAUGCGUUGUUGGGUAGGGGAGCGUUCUGUAAGCCUGUGAAGGUGUGCUGUGAGGCAUGCUGGAGGUAUCAGAAGUGCGAAUGCUGACAUAAGUAACGAUAAAGCGGGUGAAAAGCCCGCUCGCCGGAAGACCAAGGGUUCCUGUCCAACGUUAAUCGGGGCAGGGUGAGUCGACCCCUAAGGCGAGGCCGAAAGGCGUAGUCGAUGGGAAACAGGUUAAUAUUCCUGUACUUGGUGUUACUGCGAAGGGGGGACGGAGAAGGCUAUGUUGGCCGGGCGACGGUUGUCCCGGUUUAAGCGUGUAGGCUGGUUUUCCAGGCAAAUCCGGAAAAUCAAGGCUGAGGCGUGAUGACGAGGCACUACGGUGCUGAAGCAACAAAUGCCCUGCUUCCAGGAAAAGCCUCUAAGCAUCAGGUAACAUCAAAUCGUACCCCAAACCGACACAGGUGGUCAGGUAGAGAAUACCAAGGCGCUUGAGAGAACUCGGGUGAAGGAACUAGGCAAAAUGGUGCCGUAACUUCGGGAGAAGGCACGCUGAUAUGUAGGUGAAGUCCCUCGCGGAUGGAGCUGAAAUCAGUCGAAGAUACCAGCUGGCUGCAACUGUUUAUUAAAAACACAGCACUGUGCAAACACGAAAGUGGACGUAUACGGUGUGACGCCUGCCCGGUGCCGGAAGGUUAAUUGAUGGGGUCAGCGCAAGCGAAGCUCUUGAUCGAAGCCCCGGUAAACGGCGGCCGUAACUAUAACGGUCCUAAGGUAGCGAAAUUCCUUGUCGGGUAAGUUCCGACCUGCACGAAUGGCGUAAUGAUGGCCAGGCUGUCUCCACCCGAGACUCAGUGAAAUUGAACUCGCUGUGAAGAUGCAGUGUACCCGCGGCAAGACGGAAAGACCCCGUGAACCUUUACUAUAGCUUGACACUGAACAUUGAGCCUUGAUGUGUAGGAUAGGUGGGAGGCUUUGAAGUGUGGACGCCAGUCUGCAUGGAGCCGGCCUUGAAAUACCACCCUUUAAUGUUUGAUGUUCUAACGUUGACCCGUAAUCCGGGUUGCGGACAGUGUCUGGUGGGUAGUUUGACUGGGGCGGUCUCCUCCUAAAGAGUAACGGAGGAGCACGAAGGUUGGCUAAUCCUGGUCGGACAUCAGGAGGUUAGUGCAAUGGCAUAAGCCAGCUUGACUGCGAGCGUGACGGCGCGAGCAGGUGCGAAAGCAGGUCAUAGUGAUCCGGUGGUUCUGAAUGGAAGGGCCAUCGCUCAACGGAUAAAAGGUACUCCGGGGAUAACAGGCUGAUACCGCCCAAGAGUUCAUAUCGACGGCGGUGUUUGGCACCUCGAUGUCGGCUCAUCACAUCCUGGGGCUGAAGUAGGUCCCAAGGGUAUGGCUGUUCGCCAUUUAAAGUGGUACGCGAGCUGGGUUUAGAACGUCGUGAGACAGUUCGGUCCCUAUCUGCCGUGGGCGCUGGAGAACUGAGGGGGGCUGCUCCUAGUACGAGAGGACCGGAGUGGACGCAUCACUGGUGUUCGGGUUGUCAUGCCAAUGGCACUGCCCGGUAGCUAAAUGCGGAAGAGAUAAGUGCUGAAAGCAUCUAAGCACGAAACUUGCCCCGAGAUGAGUUCUCCCUGACUCCUUGAGAGUCCUGAAGGAACGUUGAAGACGACGACGUUGAUAGGCCGGGUGUGUAAGCGCAGCGAUGCGUUGAGCUAACCGGUACUAAUGAACCGUGAGGCUUAACCUUACAACGCCGAAGGUGUUU
rnacentral:rRNA from 1 species